GAACACAAGAUUUUCUGGUCGGCGCACGAACGCCGCUACGGGCGUACGAACGCCCCAAUCCUUUACUUCUUUACAGUGGCUACAUCGCUACUUUGUUUUUCCCAGCCCUCACGGCUCACUUUUCUCAUUCAUCUUCUCCAACUUAAAUAGCUAAGUACAAGACUGACCCAAGCACUUGCCAGCCGCCACUCUCGCAGCUGCUAACGCCCACUAACUCAUGCACUAGGCCACUAAUCACAACUAACUCAUGCACGCAUGCACCACACCGGCCACUAUCACAUGACCGGGCGACUAACCCACUAGCUACAUGCAUGCAACUAGAUAACUACCUUAUCCAUGCACUCCAGGACUCGGCAACUCCACCGGACGCCCCGCUCGUAGCAGCCGCGGGACUUGCUGCUAACGAAACCACGCACAUCAAGAUUAGUGCUAACAUUUCCCCCCUUAAUCUUGACACGCCUUGCCGUCGACCGUCAUCUUGAACGCCUGAGCUCGACGUCUUCACACGCCUCCGCGCCCGCUGCGACGUGCCGUGCGCCCGCCUGUCACCGGAGUUGAUGCAGCUUGCGUCGUCGUCGUCACGGCCGUGACCCAGCCUGCGGACCCGACCCGACGCAUCGACGCCGGUCACACCGCCACGGACCCGACCUGGCGCACUGACGCCGGUCGCACCGUGCUCCCUCACGACCCCGGCGACAUACGCCGAGCUCCUCCGCCGGCGACACACGCCUGGCGUCCCUCUGCGUCCCGCACGUCCCGCACGCAUCCGACGUGCCCGACGAGCCCGACCGCAGCAGUGCGUCCCGCACGUCCCGCGCGCAUUCGACGCGCCCGACGAGCCCGACAGCACCAGACGCUCACCACGUGCCGCCUCCGCGUCCGCCAUGGCAGCCACCACGCCGCGCCUACGUGCCACGCACCUUCCACGGUCGUUGCCCCGAGCCGUCGCGACCUAUGCGCCACCACGCAGGUCCUUCGCGACCUCCUCGUCUCCGCGACCGCCGUGCCCUUCGCGCACACUCCCCACGUCCCCGCGCUCCCAGCCCGCGCUCCCGCCGCGCACGUACGCGGUCUGCGCAACCAGGUCCAGCGCCUCGACGCGGUCCACUCCCGCGGUCCCGACGCGCUCGACACGUCCAGUGCGCGCCCAUAACACGCACCGGUCGCGUCCGGCUCGCCGCCACGUCUUAUUGCCCUGCACCGCUGCGGCCUCCAUGCCGCCAUGCCGUGCUGCGCCGCCGCGCCACCACGCAGCGCCUCGGCGGCCUCCGCGGUCGCCGCACGUACGACGUCACCGCCCGCCGCCUCCGCCACGCGCCAUGGCAGUCACAGCGCCGCCCACCUCCAUAGGCCGACACACGACCCGGAGCUCCAACGCGCAGCCGCCGGCGAGCGCCGCCAUCGCUGCCACGCCUCCGGCACGGCGAGCACGCCCAAGACACCAAGCUCAUGAUACCAAAUGUUGAAACCGCAGCCCUCUCUCACUCUCGGCUAGAGGAAGAAGAAGAACACGGACACAAGAUUUUCCGGUCAGCGCACGAACACCGCUACGGGCGCACGAAACGCCCCAAUCCUUUACUUCUUUACAAUGGCUACAUCGCUACUUUGUUUUUCCCAGCCCUCACGGCUCACUUUUCUCAUUCAUCUUCUCCAACUUAAAUAGCUAAGUACAAGACUGACCCAAGCACUUGCCAGCCGCCACUCUCGCAGCUGCUAACGCCCACUAGCUCAUGCACUAGGCCACUAAUCACAACUAACUCAUGCACGCAUGCACCACACCGGCCACUACCACAUGACCGGGCGACUAACCCACUAGCUACAUGCAUGCAACUAGAUAACUACCUUAUCCAUGCACUCCAGGACUCGGCAACUCCACCGGACGCCCCGCUCGUAGCAGCCGCGGGACUU
rnacentral:lncRNA from 1 species